rnacentral:rRNA from 1 species
CCUACGGGUGGCAGCAGUGAGGAAUAUUGGUCAAUGGCCGGAAGGCUGAUCCAGCCAAGCCGCGUGAAGGACGAAGGUGCCAAGCAUUGUAAACUUCUUUUGUCAAGGGACAACAUCAGGCUCGAGAGCCUGACCGAGGGUACUUGCAGCAAAAGCAUCGGCUAACUCAGUGCCAGCAGCCGCGGUAAUACGGAGGUUGCGAGCGUUAUCCGGAUUUAUUGGGGUAAAGGGGUGCGUAGGCGGACUGUUAAGUCAGCGGAAAAAGCCCGGGGCUCAACCCCGGCGAGCCGUUGAAACUGGCUGUCUUGAGAUGUCGAGAGGUAUGCGGAAUGCGCGGUGUAGCGGUGAAAUGCUUAGAUAUUGCGCAGAACUCCGAUGGCGAGGGCAGCAUACCGGCGGCGAUCUGACGCUGAGGCACGAAAGCGUGGGUAUCGAACAGGAUUAGAUACCCAGUAGUC